rnacentral:rRNA from 1 species
AACGAACGCUGGCGGCAUGCCUAACACAUGCAAGUCGAACGAGACCUUCGGGUCUAGUGGCGCACGGGUGCGUAACGCGUGGGAACCUGCCUUUAGGUUCGGAAUAACUCUCCGAAAGGGUGCUAAUACCGAAUAAUGUCUUCGGACCAAAGAUUUAUCGCCUUUAGAUGGCCCGCGUUGGAUUAGCUAGUUGGUGGGUAAAGGCCUACCAAGGCGACGAUCCAUAGCUGGUCUUAGAGGAUGAUCAGCCACACU